rnacentral:lncRNA from 1 species
AUCCUUUGUGGGUGUAUUUAAUGCUUAUGUAGCAUGUGAUUGUAUAUUUUUUGGCAUAUAAGUACUUAUGUUAUUCGGUGUUUUUUCAACAAAAUUUAAAUUUUUUUUUUUUGGAAAAACGGGUUCGACGUGUGAAGCAUUCCUGUAGAACAUUCAUUUUUCUUAUGUACAUCUUGUAGUGAUAUAGUAGGUUUUAUUAUGCAAAAGUGAUGUAAUAAUUAAGGCCAUGUAAAGGGAUGUGUUUUGCGCAGCGUCGACGUUUUUCAAAUUAAAUUUUGGCAUAAGUACUUAUUUUUUAUCUGUGUGAUGAUAUUACGAGAUAAGUUCUCCUUAUAUAAAUAUUUUUUGAAAGAAAAGGAUGUGUUCUUUCAAAAUGGAUGAGUUCCAACUUUUGGAUAAGUUCCAAAAUUAAUAGAAAAUUAAUAAGAUUGUGAUAUUUUGAACCGACACUGGGUGAUAAUUACGAGCAUAGCGAAGUUUUCGAUCCCGUUGUGUCGAGGAUAAUAUUCCAAUCUUGUUAAUUUUUUCGGAAUAUGUGCCUAAUGUCCAAACCUUUUUUUUUUUGUGAAUGUAGUGAAAUGACUUCCAAAAACAUCAUAGCUGAUCUCACCAGGGGUGAUAAGCUAGAUGGAAAGAACUAUGUUUUGUUUUAUAUAGGAAAAUGCAAUACCUGCUUAAUGAACAAGGGGUUUUCGUAACUCUCUCUGUCAAA